rnacentral:rRNA from 1 species
GACGAACGCCGGCGGCGUGCUUAACACAUGCAAGUCGAACGGAAAGGCCCUGCUUUUGUGGGGUGCUCGAGUGGCGAACGGGUGAGUAACACGUGAGUAACCUGCCCUUGACUUUGGGAUAACUUCAGGAAACUGGGGCUAAUACCGGAUAGGAGCUCCUGCUGCAUGGUGGGGGUUGGAAAGUUUCGGCGGUUGGGGAUGGACUCGCGGCUUAUCAGCUUGUUGGUGGGGUAGUGGCUUACCAAGGCUUUGACGGGUAGCCGGCCUGAGAGGGUGACCGGCCACAUUGGGACUGAGAUACGGCCCAGACUCCUACGGGAGGCAGCAGUGGGGAAUAUUGCACAAUGGGCGGAAGCCUGAUGCAGCAACGCCGCGUGCGGGAUGACGGCCUUCGGGUUGUAAACCGCUUUCGCCUGUGACGAAGCGUAAGUGACGGUAAUGGGUAAAGAAGCACCGGCUAACUACGUG